rnacentral:lncRNA from 1 species
CUGGUCCCCUCCGCCUACCGGUCCUGGGCGCGCAGGGGGAGCCAGCGGCCCUUGCAGACUCCAGGCUGCUGGCCGUUGAAGUCAUAAAGCAGGCAUUGUUUGACAGGGUGGCUGGAAGCAGGGCUGUCUCAAGUCGAGCUAUGACAACCGACAAGACUGUGGAAAACAGUCAACAAAUUGCAACCGUCCUCCAGAGACUUCCUGAAUUCCCUCGGAGAUUACCUUCUUGAGAACAAAACAAAUGUCUACAACAAACAAGAGGUCCAGAGGCAGCCAGUCCAGGGCUGGGGAAGACAUUGGAUGAUGCUGUCAAGGGGUCAGGAUCUUCUACUCUUGUGGUGCCAUCUUCAGCUGGUGGUUCUCCUCAUGGCCCCUGGAGAGCUGCCGCCCCUUUGGACAUUACAUCUGCAUUCCAGAAGGAAGAAGAAAACAGGGCAAUGCGUGAAAGGGCACACCGGCUGACUUUCCCUUUCUGCCAUGUGAGUGAAAGCUCUCCUGGAAGUUGCAACCAGAAUUUUCCUACUGGCAUCUCACUGACCGAAACGAUGCUCCAUAACGACCUCAGGCUGGAAGGGGGUUUUCCCACUCACUUGAACAUAUAAUCUUUACUAUGUGAUAAAUUCUGGACUUCUGCUGGAGAAGGCCAUCGAGAGGACAUGACUGCCGAUCAACCCUCAAGCUGGACCUGGGCAAUCCUCACCCUCCUCUGUCCUUGGAAUGUAUGUUCUGCCCACUGUUCCCCCAUGGGAGCCAUUUUCAAGGAUGCAGCUUUGAGAGAGCAAUGUGUUGUUGAGAUCAUCUGGAAGGUGUGUGUGACUGACCCCGUUAAAGCCUCUAUGUAAACUUUUAAGAUUCUGGCUGGCAGGUGUGGAGAUCGAUUCAUCUUGCAGCCGCCCAAGACAAGUCUCAUAGGUCAAUUCCCUUGCUGAUUAAACCUGCCACCUUCCAGUCUGGAGUGGCUGCCUCUUUCUGUGGUCUCUCCUUGCCUUCCAUGUACGGG